rnacentral:rRNA from 1 species
GGUGCCCUCACUGCCUUCGGGUGCUACCAACUCCCAUGGCGUGACAGGCGGUGUGUACAAGGUCAGGGAACGUAUUCACCGCGGCGGCUGGGACAAUCACUAGUGAAUUCGCUGAUUGUAAAAGUACACCAUGAUAACUCGUUGUCGUGGAUAUACAUUCUUUGUGAAAGCAAAAGCGAUAAGUUAUCCACCUGGGGAGUACGACCGCAAGGUUGAAACUCAAAGGAAUUGACGGGGGCCCGCACAAGCGGAGGAACAUGUGGUUUAAUUCGAUGAUACGCGAGGAACCUUACCCGGGCUCGAACGGUGCAGGAAUAUGGUAGAGAUAUCAUAGCUAGCAAUAGUCUGUAUCGAGGUGCUGCAUGGUUGUCGUCAGCUCGUGCCGUGAGGUGUCGGCUUAAGUGCCAUAACGAGCGCAACCCUUGUCAUUA